rnacentral:rRNA from 1 species
AUUGAACGCUGGCGGCAUGCUUUACACAUGCAAGUCGAACGGUAACAGGCCGCCAGGUGCUGACGAGUGGCGAACGGGUGCGUAAUGCAUCGGAACGUGCCCAGUCGUGGGGGAUAACUACUCGAAAGAGUAGCUAAUACCGCAUACGAUCUAUGGAUGAAAGCGGGGGACCGUAAGGCCUCGCGCGAUUGGAGCGGCCGAUGUCAGAUUAGGUAGUUGGUGGGGUAAAGGCUCACCAAGCCAACGAUCUGUAGCUGGUCUGAGAGGACAACCAGCCACACUGGGACUGAGACACGGCCCAGACUCCUACGGGAGGCAGCAGUGGGGAAUUUUGGACAAAGGGCGCAAGCCCGAUCCAGCAAUGCCGCGUGCAGGAAGAAGGCCUUCGGGUUGUAAACUGCUUUUGUACGGAACGAAACGGCUCUGGUUAAUACCCGGGGCUAAUGACGGUACCGUAAGAAUAAGCACCGGCUAACUACGUG